AUGGUACUAGGAGAAAAACUUGUUAGUUGUCUGUCUCUUACUUUGACAACUAAUGUGUAAUGCAAACUUUAUGAUAGGUACAUAUGCAUAAAGAAAGUAGUAAAUAUCAUAUGAUCACUGAGGGGGCAUGAACAUGAAUGUAUACUUUGAGGGAAUGGGGAGGUCAGUUAUUGAAACACAUAUUGCAGGUAAAUUUCAAAAUUAAUGCACCAAAUAAAGGCAGCCAUAUGUAUGAGAAUGGAUUAGGCUCCAUCCUCUGAGGUUAUAAGAACAAUCUGUCGAGAGAGCAGUGGUUGCUUCUGGGAGUAAUGUUGGAAAUUAACUGGGAAGGAGACAGAGGAAUUCUCUGGAUUUGAGUUACACAGAUUUAUGCAUUUGCCAAAAGUCAGAGAAUGUAUACUUAAAAUGCUUGCAUUUUUAUUAUGUGAAAAUUUACAUUGGAUAACAAAUUCUGCAUAAAAAAAUGCUGAAACUAUUGAUGAGAAAGUAAUCUGUUGAGGGGGAAGAUUGAUGUUUGUGGUACAUGUUUGGGAGCUGAUGAUACAGGUAUUUGGAUAGAUCAUUAUAUCUGUUUUAACACAAGCAUAUUCACUGUAAAAUUCUUUGGAUUGUCUAGAAUAUUUAAGAACACUUUUUUUGCUUCUCUUUUUUUGCUCAUUUUGUUUUGAGACAAGGUCUUACUUUGUAGCCUUCGUUGGCCUGGAAAUUACCUUGUAGGCUAGACUGGCCUCAGACUCACAGAGAUCCACCUGCCUCUGCCUCCAAAGUGCUGCUGGGAUUAAAGAUAUAAGAUACUAUAUCCGGCCCUGUUUAAGAAUUUUUAUUCAAAAUUUUGGGAAUUUGUUGACCUUAAGAUAUCUAUACCAUGGAGCAUUUUACAGCAACAAAAAAGACAAAUGUCAAGACAUGAUGAGAUGUGGAUACAUCUUACAAACCUCAUAUGGAGCAAAGAAAAGAAUGAUGGAUCACAGAAUGAUACACACAUUAUCCCCGUUAGCCAUGGGAAUGUGUGUAUCUGGAGAGUUUCUCUCUGGGUAUCGCCAAGUCCUCGCAGUCCCACAGCCCACUUAUAAAAUAAACACACAGACACUUAUGUUAUUUAAACUGUUUGGCCUAAUGGCUCAGGCUUCUUGCUAGCUGAUCUUAUAUCUUAAAUUAACCCAUUUCUAUUAAUCUAUAAGUUGCCACAUGGUUCGUGGCUUACCGGUAUCUUAACAUCUUCUCAUGGCAGCGGCUGGCAGCGUCUCUCUGCCUUAGCCUUCCACUUCCCAGAAUUCUCCUCUCUCUUUGUCCUGCCUAUACUUCCUGCCUGGCUACUGGCCAAUCAGCACUUUAUUUAUUAACCAAUCAGAGCAACACAUUCACAGCAUAGAAAACAUCCCACAGCAAAUGUGUUCUAGGACCACAGUGAGCGCCUGAGAGCAUCAGGAAUAUCCAACCCUACAUGUACCAAUUUACCUGUACAUUCAUGCCUAUGGUGAAGUUUAACGAUAGACCCAUUUUUGAUAUUAUAGUCUGGUAAAAGUUAUAUGGCUGUUCAGUAUCUCUGUCUUCCUGUCUCUGUCUGUCUCUCUCGUUCUCCCUAAAAAUGCCCUAAUUCCUCAUUGCAUUGUAGUAAUAUUUUGCAUCAUGGCUGCCACAAGUAAUUGAAACUGUAGAAUGUAAACCAUGCUAAUGAGGGACUGGUGUAAUGUAAGAUUUUAUUAAUACUUGAUACAAAGGCAGGUAACCUUUUGCGUAGGAAAUAGCAUUGUUUGUGUUUAGGAAGAAUGAAGAAUUCAUGGGGUGGGCAUGACAGAUUUCUAAAGCACUGGAGAAAUUUUUGUUUCUUGAUUUGAGUAGGCAAUUCCAGUGAUAUACCCAUUUAUGAAAAUUCAAUGAUUUGUACACUAUUUUGUAUACAUUGAAAAUAUAAUUGCUAAAAUGAAAAUCAAUCAGGGUAGGCCUCAUGUGCAAAGAUAAGCUUGUAUCUAAGAAUAUGAAAUAGAAAGAUAGAAGAAGGAAAAUGCAAAACUUGAAAUGGAGGACAGGAUUACACAGGAUGGCCAAUAUCUGCUUGAAAGCAGUUCCAAAGGAGAGAAUAUAGAAAGUUUAGGAAAGGAAAUUAUCAUAGAAAAAAACUAUAAAAGUUGAGGGAAAACAUGAACCUUCAGACUGAAACUAGUAACAAUAGACACAUUUUGGAGGAAAGACAUAACUUGAAAUAUCAUUGUGAAAUUCCACACUACCACCUUUAAAGAAAAGACACUAAAAUGUAUAAAGAGAAACUGCUAAGAAAAAAAAAAUUAUGUAAAGGAGGAGAAAUUGGAUGUGUAUCAGACCUAUUAGCAAUGUUGGAGAGUAAAGAGACAAGGAGAUGAUGCUUCAUGGUUUUGUGUAAAAUGUAAUUUUAAAUUUAUUUUUUACUUUUAUGAGUGUUUUUCCUACAUUUGUAUAUGUGCACUAUGUACAUGACUUGGUGCACAUGGAGGCUAGAAUAGAAUGGAGAUCCCCUAAAACUGGAGUUACAAAUGAUUGUGAGUUACCAUGUGGAUGCUGGGAAUUGAACCCGGAUCUUUUAGAACAGAAAGUGCUUUUAGUUGCUAAGCCAUGUCUCUAGUCUCAUGAUAUGUAUGUAAGGUUUAUAUUCCUGUAUGAAAAAGCAUAACAAAGCUCAUUACUUUGUUCAAUUAAUAUAUGCUAAUAAAAAUUUAAAAAAAGAAGUCUGUAUUCCAGAUAACCCAUGUAUCAAAGUUAUUGAAGACAAAAAGACCAAAGAUCAAAUUUUCAAAGGCCUUUGAAUUUUGUCAGUAAUACUUCAACUCAUUUCUUUUCAUUCUUAAACCAAAUACUACCGAAAAACAACCCAAAGGCAUCUCAGAAUCCAAAAUUUUCUGUUUAGUUUUUAAAGGAAAACCAAAAGCAGUUUGAAAGAAAUCUAGACUCAGCAGAUGGUCCUUUGUCACUGUUUGGGAACAAUGCAGGUUGUCACAAACUGUGAGGGGAGCCACCUGCAAUUCAUGCUCCACCAGUGUGAAUUAAUGAGCAGCUUUGUGUCUCUUUCUGAGUCCCUCACAGCUCAAAUUCUCCACAGUUUAGUGUAUGUACUGCCGUGCUCUUGACCAGUGCUUAGCUGUGAGUAUCUCAUGAGAAAUUUGGGUUUUUCAUUAUAAAGUAAAAUAUUAAACAUAGAGCAUAACUAUAAUCCUGUGCUCUUAAAAUAUAAAUAAAAACUUGCAAAAAUGUUUGAAUUUGAAAAAAAAAUCAUGUGCUCUUAACUCUCAGUGCUAUUACUUUGGCUGAAUAAUGGUUUUAGUAUACAUUGCUUAUCCUGAGAACCAGAGGAUCAACUCAGUUUAUCUCCUUUGGCCCUCACAGUUACCUGUGGAGAAUUCCAUCUAGAUCUGAGAAGUGGAUUAACUUGUCCAAAGCUACAAAACAGAAGCACCAUUAUCAGAACGCAGGUCGUGUUAUUCCACGGUCUGUCUUCUCCCUUCACUGUGUUCCUCUAAGUUUCACUGAUUCUUCAGUGAAUAUUGACUGACACAAACAUCAAAUUAUGAAUGAGAUUUCUCAGCCUUUGCUUUUUCUAAUUAGUCUAAAUAAAUUUUUUUCAUGCUUACUCAUAGAUACAGACCAAAAACCCUAACAUUUCAUAUCUUAGCAAUAUCAACUGGUGCUAUACUAACAGUUACAGGAAUUUAAGGAUGGAAAGAUGGGGUAAAGACAGAAGAGCAUGCAUCCCCUGUGUCACCAAGGCAGAAUCAUGAAAGGGUGUUCAUCCUAUCUAAUACACUCCUUGGGGGGACUUUUGUCCCUGUGGGUUCUUUGUGCAUCUUCCACAAACCAGUGCACUGUGAGACAUGAAGUAGCUGACUGCAGCCAUUUGAAGCUGACACAUAUACCUGAUGACCUUCCUGCUAACAUAACGGUGUUGAAUCUUACCCACAACCAACUCAGAGGCUUACCACCGACCAAUUUUACAAGAUACAGCCAACUCACUAUCUUGGAUGUGGGAUUUAACUCCAUUUCAAAACUGGAGCCAGGACUGUGCCUAACACUCCCUUUGUUGAAAGUCUUGAACUUCCAGCACAAUGAGCUAUCGCAGAUUUCCGAAAAAACUUUCAUCUUCUGCAGGAACCUGACGGAACUCUAUCUAAUGUCUAACUCAAUACACAAAAUUAAAAGCAACCCUUUCAAAAACCAGAAGAAUUUAAUCAAGUUAGAUCUGUCGCAUAACGGCCUAUCAUCAACGAAGUUGGGAACUGAAGUCCAACUGGAAGACCUCCGGGAGCUCCUCUUAUCGAAUAAUAAGAUCCUUGCACUAAGAAGUGAAGAACUCGAUUUCCUUAGCAAUUCUUCUCUACAAAAAUUGGACUUGUCAUCCAACCCGCUUAGAGAGUUUUCUCCAGGGUGUUUUCAUGCAAUCGGCAAUUUAUCCGCUCUCCUUUUGAACAACGCCCAACUAGACCUCCACCUCACGGAGAAGCUCUGUUCGGAACUUUCAAAUACAAGCAUCCAGAAUCUCUCUCUGGCUAACAACCAGCUUCUGGCAACCAGCCUCGCGACUUUCUCCGGGCUGAAGCAGACCCAUCUCACGUCGCUGGAUCUCUCCUACAACAGCCUACGCGAUGUGGGUAACGAUACCUUCUCUUGGCUCCCACACCUCAGGUACCUGUCUCUGCAGUACAAUAACAUACAGUGUUUGUCUCCUCGCUCUUUCUAUGGACUUUCCAAUCUGAGGUACCUGAAUUUGAAGCGAGCAUUUACUAGACAAAGUAUUUCCCUUGCUUCUCACCCCAAGAUCGAUGAUUUUUCUUUUCAGUGGCUAAAAUAUUUGGAAUAUCUCAACAUGGAUGAUAAUAAUAUUCCGGGCACAAAAAGCAAUAUGUUCACGGGCUUGACGAGUCUGAAGUAUCUAAGUCUUUCCAAAACUUUCACAAGUUUGCAAACUUUAACAAAUGAAACGUUUUUGUCACUUGCUCAUUCUCCUUUGCUCACACUCAAUUUAACGAAAAAUCACAUCUCAAAAAUAGCAGGUGGUGCUUUCUUGUGGUUGGGCCAACUCAGGGUACUUGACCUUGGCCUUAAUGACAUUGAUCAAGAACUCACAGGCCAGGAGUGGAGAGGUCUGAGAAAUAUAUUUGAGAUCUACCUGUCCUAUAACAAAUAUCUCCAACUGACUAGCAAUUCCUUUGCUCUGGUUCCCGGUCUUCAGAGACUGAUGCUCAGGAGGGUGGCACUAAAAAAUGCGGAAAUCUCCCCCUCCCCUUUCCGCCCUCUCCGUAACUUGACUAUUCUGGACUUAAGCAACAACAACAUCGCCAACAUAAAUGAGGACUUUUUGGAGGGUCUGGAGAAUCUAGAAAUCCUGGAUUUUCAGCACAACAACUUAGCAAGGCUCUGGAAACACGCAAACCCUGGCGGUCCUGUUAAUUUCCUGAAGGGCCUGUCUCACCUCCACAUCCUGAAUUUGGAGUCUAACGGCUUUGACGAAAUCCCAGUCGGGGUGUUCAAGAACUUAUUUGAACUAAAGAGCAUCAAUCUAGGACUGAAUAAUUUAAACAUACUUCUACCAUCUAUUUUUGAUGACCAGAUGUCUCUAAGGUCAUUGAACCUUCAGAAGAACCUCAUCACGUCGGUGGAGAAGAAUGUUUUUGGGCCAGCUUUUCAGAACCUGAGUAGUUUAGAUAUGCGCUUUAACCCAUUUGAUUGUACAUGUGAAAGUAUUGCCUGGUUUGUUAACUGGAUCAACCAGACCCACGCUAACAUCUCUGAGCUACCGACUCAUUACCUCUGCAACACCCCGCCUCAGUAUCAUGGCUUCCCAGUGAUGCACUUUGAUACAUCAUCCUGUAAAGACAGUGCCCCCUUUGAACUUUUCUUCAUGAUUAAUACCAGUGUGCUCAUGACUUUUAUACUUAUGGCGUUGCUCAUUCACUUUGAGGGCUGGAGGAUAUCUUUUUACUGGAAUGUUUCGGUUCAUCGGGUUCUUGGUUUCAAGGAAAUUGAAGCACAGCCUGAACAGUUUGAAUAUACAGCAUACAUAAUUCAUGCCCAUCAAGACAGAGACUGGGUUUGGAAACACUUCUCCCCAAUGGAGGAACAAGACCAAUCUCUCAAAUUCUGCCUAGAAGAAAGGGACUUUGAAGCAGGUGUCCUUGGACUUGAAGCAAUUGUCAACAGCAUCAAAAGAAGCAGAAAAAUCAUUUUUGUUAUAACAUACCAUCUAUUAAAAGACCCUCUGUGCAAAAGAUUCAAGGUACACCAUGCGGUUCAGCAAGCUAUUGAGCAAAAUCUGGAUUCAAUUAUAUUGAUUUUUCUUCAAGAUAUUCCAGAUUAUAAACUAAACCACGCACUCUGUUUGCGAAGAGGAAUGUUUAAAUCCCGUUGCAUCUUGACCUGGCCAGUUCAGAAAGAACGGAUAAAUGCCUUUCAUCAUAAAUUGCAAGUAGUACUUGGGUCACGAAAUUCAGCACAUUAAAUUUAUUUGGAGAUUAAGUUGACAAAGGGAUACAUCCAAUUUAUAAAGGUCCGUCAUAAAUCUGAGUUUUAGCCGGGCGGUGGUGGCGCACGCCUUUAAUCCCAGCACUUGGGAGGCAGAGCCAGGAGGAUCUCUGUGAGUUCGAGGCCAGCCUGGGCUACCAAGUGAGUUCCAGGAAAGGCGAAAAGCUACACAGAGAAACCCUGUCUCAAAAAACCAAAAAAAAAAAAAAUCUGAGUUUUACUUGAAAGCUUCUUAUGUUUAUAUGUAUAGAUGAUGAUGUUGUAUCAUAAUUGAAUCUCAUUUUUUGAAAUAUUUCUUAUUUCAGGCCUCUUAUCAACAAUUGUUUUAUUUACCUACUCCAAACAAAUACCUGGGCAGUUAAGAGCAUCCUCUGUUAAUGACUUCACAGUUGAUCUCUGAGGUGUAUCACAGCUUCAAAGGGGUUUUAAGGCUCCUCUCUUCUCACAGUACCCUUGAGAAUGAACUGACUUUGGAAAUCCCACAUGCAGUGUUUGGAAGAAAGAACAAUCAAUGGUGAUCAGGAGAGGGGUGAAUAGGUGUAGAAGGCUAUAAAGAAGUGGUGUUUGCUCUGUCCUGCAAGUAGCAGGGAGCCUUCCAGCAGCAGAGAAGACCAAGAAUUGGAAAAUAUGCUCCUCACUCAGUGCUGAAUGCCUACAAAAGUCGCUUGUGAUUGUACCGCAUGGCAACUUUACUUAUUCUCUUCCAUUUGUCUUAUCUGUUCACUUUUUAAAAUUAGUAUGGACUUAAUGUAAACUUGUAUUUUGUGUUAAAGAAUCAUACUAUUUGAUGGUUUUGUUCAAAUUGUUUUAGUAUUGGAUUUAGGGAGCCCUUCUAGCAAUCACUUGUGUCUCUUUUUCCCUUCGACAUACUGUAUCAUCAUCUCUCUCUCUCUCUCUCUCUCUCUCUCUCUCUCUCUCUCUCUCUCUCUCUCUCUCUCUCUCUCUCUCUCGUGUGUGUGUGUGUGUGUGUGUGUGUGUGUGUGUGUGUGUGUGUGUGAGAAAAUUUACUUUUUGGAAUUGCAUUGUGCUUCAAAGUAAUCCUGGAUAUUCCCUUGCUCCCUGUUUAAGCAAUCUACAAGGAGUCUUGGAUCCUUUCAAUCUAGAACAGCAUUAUUACACCUUGAUGUGCUUGUUAGUAAGUGACUGCCUUCCGUGCUUCCAAAGCAAGCAAUGUGAGUGAAAAUCGACUCAUACAUAUGUAUCUAUAAAUAUUGCCUUAUCUGUACACAUCUAAUAUGUAUAUUAAAUUAACUAGUCUGGAUGUUAAAAUGAACAAUAGUGCAUUUUGGCAUCUCCAACUCUAAUUCAUUAUCACAUUGAUCACCUUAAUCUUUGCCUUGCUUUUCUGUGGCCAUCCAUGCUAUCGUAGAUCACUGUCUCUGUACUUAAUCAUGCAAUUCUAUAUUUACCAGUAUCAGAAUUGCUAACCCCCAUGCUGGGGAAAGCAACUUUCGUAGCUACACUAAAAUGCUUAUAUGCAAUGCCUUUUGCGUUAGUUUUACAUUCUGUUUUCUAAAGUUGCUUCAGCUAGCAUUUGCCCCUCGCUCCCUUCAAUAAGGUUAAUAUGUCCUUUUGUAAUAUAGCUAGAUUCUGUUGUCAGUCUGUACUCUACCCUGUGAUUUCUGGAUUUCUGGAAUUGUUUGGGUUUUGUUUGCAUACACAAAGGCUUAUGCUUUGUGUGGUAAAGUUUUAUGGGUUUUGACAAAUGCAUAACAUAUUAAACUUUAUCACUUUGCAAUCUUAUCGGAUAGUUUUCUCACCCUAAAACAUGCCCUAUGAAUUAUCAUUAAAAGGGGCUGAGGCAGUAACUUAGUGGUUAAGGGUGCUUGCUCCUCUUGCAGAAGACUUGAAUUUGGUUCCCAGCACAUCGGUCAGGUGGCUUUCAACCACCUAUAACUUUAUCUGCAAGAGAUCUAAUGCCGUCUUCUGGUCUAGGAGGACAUCUACAUGAAAAUGUGCAUACUCACACAUAGACACAUACAGAAACAGAAAUAAAAAUAAGAUAAAAUUUCUAAAAUUAUUUAUUCAAAUUUGGCUUCUCUUGGAACCCAUAUCAACUAUGGCCUAUUUACUAACUUUGUAGGUUUACGUUUUACAUAAUGGCAUAUUGGCAUAUGAAUAAAGUCUUAGUGUGUCGCUAAAAACUGCUGAGUUCAU